GAUGAAGAACGUAGCGAAAUGCGAUAAGUAAUGUGAAUUGCAGAAUUCAGUGAAUCAUCGAAUCUUUGAACGCACAUUGCGCCCAUUAGUAUUCUAGUGGGCAUGUCUGUUCGAGCGUCAUUAAGUCCACUUAAGCCCUGCUUAGUGUUGGGAGACUGCUCCAGCGGUGCUACCCUGUAGCUACCCUGCAGCUCCUCAAAGACAGCGGCGGAGUUGUGGUAUCCUCUGAGCUUAGUAACUUGUUCUAGCUUUCGAGUACACCACUUCCCCUGCCGUAAAACCCUUAAUUUUUAAUGGUUGACCUCGGAUCAGGUAGGAAUACCCGCUGAACUUAAGCAUAUCAAUAAGCGGAGGA
rnacentral:misc_RNA from 1 species